rnacentral:rRNA from 1 species
AGAGAGAGACAUGCGCGCAUAUCAAUAAGCGGAGGAAAAGAAACUAACAAGGAUUCCCCUAGUAACGGCGAGUGAAGCGGGAAGAGCUCAAAUUUGAAAUCUUAAAGGGUUUCCCUCUACGAAUUGUAGUUUAAAGAAGUGUUUUCUGUUGAGGUUUUGGUAAAAGUUCUUUGGAAUAGGACAUCAUAGAGGGUGAGAAUCCCGUAUUUGAUCACUUUCUACUAACUUUGUGAUACACUUUCAACGAGUCGGAUUGUUUGGGAAUGCAGUCCAAAAUGGGUGGUAAAUUUCAUCUAAAGCUAAAUAUUGGCGAGAGACCGAUAGCGAACAAGUACCGUGAGGGAAAGAUGAAAAGAACUUUGAAAAGAGAGUUAAACAGUACGUGAAAUUGUCAAAAGGGAAGCGUUUGACACCAGUGUUGUUUUUCUGAAAAUCAAUUAAGGAACUGUUUAUGCUAAGCUGUUUAGACUUUAUCAGCUAUACUGUUUAGUUUUGAGCUUUUCUUUAAUGCACUUUUCAGUUAACAAGUCAACAUCAAUUUCUUUUGCUGUAAAAAAGCUUGAGGAAGGUGGCUUGAGAUUCGUCUUAAGUGUUUAUAGCCUCUUGCCUAUGCAGUCGGAGAGAUUGAGGUCUGCAGCGUAGAUCCUUCGGGGCUAAAUGCAUUUGUGCUAAGUUAUAACAUUUUAUAGACAACUUGUUGACUAUGAUUUGUCUUGUAGCUUACUCGCUUAUGUUAUUUUACCUACGCUUAGGAUGUUGACGCAUGAGAUAUACGC